UUGGAGGGCAAGUCUGGUGCCAGCAGCCGCGGUAAUUCCAGCUCCAAUAGCGUAUAUUAAAGUUGUUGCGGUUAAAAAGCUCGUAGUUGAAUUUCGGGAUCAAGGGAUCGGUCAUGCCUUGGUAUGUACUGGUCUUAUUGGUUCUCACCUUCUAAAGAACCAUGAUGUCAUUCAUUUGAUGUUAUGGGGAAUUAGGACUGUUACCUUGAAAAAAUUAGAGCGUUUAAAGCAAGCUUACGCUUGAAUACAUUAGCAUGGAAUAAUGAAAUAGGACAUCAGAUUCUAUUUUGUUGGUUUCUAGGAUCGACGUAAUGAUUAAUAGGGAUAGUUGGGGGCAUUAGUAUUCAAUUGUCAGAGGUGAAAUUCUUGGAUUUAUUGAAGACUAACUACCGCGAAAGCAUUUGCCAAGGAUGUUUUCAUUAAUCUAGAACGAAAGUUAGGGGAUCGAAGACGAUCAGAUACCGUCGUAGUCUUAACCAUAAACUAUGCCGACUAGGGAUCGGAUGAUGUUAAUUUUUUAAUGACUCAUUCGGCACCUUACGGGAAACCAAAGUGUUUGGGUUC
rnacentral:rRNA from 1 species